GGACAUAAGAGUGAUCUGUUUGUGACUUGUGUCACCUCAUUGAUCGCCAGGGUUGAUUUGGCUGAUGGGGCUGGCUAGUCGGGUGUCCCCUUCCUCUCUCGUGUCUUAUGUGCAUCCCUCUGGGAAGAGGUUGAGCAGCUCCACUCCCAUGGAGGAGGACCAUUCCCUUGGUCAAGUGUAUGUUGGUAGCUGGGCUCCCCUGCUAGAACUACCAGACAGCUCUCAAAGCUGAAUUCCAGAGUUCUGACUUUUAUUGUUCCCAAACUAAAAGUUAGGGAUGAUAGGUUCUGGCCCUAGUAUGAAUUGUUGAAUCAUUAUGGUGAUCAUCUAAU
rnacentral:snRNA from 1 species